AACAAGGCGUACCUGCGGACCUGCGGAGGGAUCAUUAACAAAUCAAACACACAUCCUGUGUAACUGUCUGUUCCUGGUGUGGUGGUGGAGAGUGUGAGAGGCAGAGUGGGGAGUUCUGUGUCUCUGCGCACCCACCCGCCAGGACCAUCCUACAUACCAUUGUCAGAUCGUAUUAUUACCACACGUAAUAACACACAACAACUUUUAACAACGGAUCU
rnacentral:misc_RNA from 1 species